GACGAACGCUGGCGGCGUGCUUAACACAUGCAAGUCGAACGAAGUGGCGAACGGGUGAGUAACGCGUAAUCAACCUGCCCUUCAGAGGGGGACAACAGUUGGAAACGACUGCUAAUACCGCAUACUGAAGGAGGGGAUUGCGUCUGAUUAGCUAGUUGGAGGGGUAACGGCCCACCAAGGCGAUGAUCAGUAGCCGGUCUGGGAGGAUGAACGGCCACAUUGGGACUGGGACAAGGGCCAGAAUCCUACGGGAGGCAGCAGUGGGGAAACUUCCGCAAUUGACGAAAGUCUGAAGGAGCAAAGGCGCCGGAGUGAUGACGGCCUUCGGGUUGUAAAGCUCUGUUAAUCGGGACGCGGUACCGGAAUAGAAAGCCACGGCUAACUACGUGCCAGCAGCCGCGGUAAUUC
rnacentral:rRNA from 1 species